AAGUGUUUCAGAUGUCAGGGACAAAGUGUUAUUUUAGUUGAGAGAAACAACCUGAUGAGAGAGAGAGAGCAAUAAAGAACCUACAGACAAAAGUGGUACACAUUAUUUUAGGAAUCAUCUACGGUUAAAAAGAUUCCCAGGUUUACAAAUUGAGGACACGGACAUGAGUAUCCCCCAUUACAAAGCGGUGUCAUUUUGUUAAGAAGCGGUGAUGACGUGGUUCAGUGUGUAUACAUCAGUGUAUAGACUCCCAGUUAUAACUGAGUCAUGGAUUGUAGUCUACAAUUGAUGGUGUGAAAUUACAAAAUUGGAUUUGUGGAGACAUAAAGUAUAAAGAAAAAUCAAUAUUCUAAAGAAACAAAGACAUAUGCUGUUAUGUUUUGAAUUUGUCCACUGUCAAUGAGAACAAUGAGGAUUAAAUGUCUGAUUU
rnacentral:misc_RNA from 1 species